rnacentral:rRNA from 1 species
GACGAACGCUGGCGGCAUGCUUAACACAUGCAAGUCGAACGGAAAGGCCCUGCUUUUGUGGGGUGCUCGAGUGGCGAACGGGUGAGUAACACGUGAGUAACCUGCCCUUGACUUUGGGAUAACUUCAGGAAACUGGGGCUAAUACCGGAUAGGAGCUCCUGCUGCAUGGUGGGGGUUGGAAAGUUUCGGCGGUUGGGGAUGGACUCGCGGCUUAUCAGCUUGUUGGUGGGGUAGUGGCUUACCAAGGCUUUGACGGGUAGCCGGCCUGAGAGGGUGACCGGCCACAUUGGGACUGAGAUACGGCCCAGACUCCUACGGGGGGCAGCAGUGGGGAAUAUUGCACAAUGGGCGGAAGCCUGAUGCAGCAACGCCGCGUGCGGGAUGACGGCCUUCGGGUUGUAAACCGCUUUCGCCUGUGACGAAGCGUGAGUGACGGUAAUGGGUAAAGAAGCACCGGCUAACUACGUG